rnacentral:rRNA from 1 species
UGGGGAAUUUUCGGCAAUGGGCGAAAGCCUGACCGAGCAACGCCGCGUGAGUGAAGAAGGCCUUCGGGUCGUAAAGCUCUGUUGUAAAGGAAGAACGGCAGGGGUGUCCCCCUGAGUGACGGUACUUUACCAGAAAGCCACGGCUAACUACGUGCCAGCAGCCGCGGUAAUACGUAGGGGGCAAGCGUUGUCCGGAAUUACUGGGCGUAAGAGCACGUAGGCGGUAACCUAAGUCAGAUGUGAAAGACCAGGGCUUAACUCUGGGGUUGCAUACGAAACUGGGUAACUAGAGUGCAGGAGAGGAAAGUGGAAUUCCUAGUGUAGCGGUGAAAUGCGUAGAUAUUAGGAGGAACACCAGUGGCGAAGGCGGCUUUCUGGACUGUAACUGACGCUGAGGUGCGAAAGCCAGGGGAGCGAACG